UACGUAGGGUGCGAGCGUUGUCCGGAAUUAUUGGGCGUAAAGAGCUUGUAGGCGGUUUGUCGCGUCUGCCGUGAAGAUUCGAGGCUCAACCUCGAACUUGCGGUGGGUACGGGCAGACUAGAGUGUGGUAGGGGAGACUGGAAUUCCUGGUGUAGCGGUGAAAUGCGCAGAUAUCAGGAGGAACACCGAUGGCGAAGGCAGGUCUCUGGGCCACUACUGACGCUGAGAAGCGAAAGCAUGGGGAGCGAACAGG
rnacentral:rRNA from 1 species